ncrna:unclassified sequences cow-rumen-1 RNA
UCACCGGCAUCUGUGUUAAAGUUUGACAGAGUAAACCCGGCACCGGACAAGACGAAGAGG